CAGAGCCCCCGGAGCCAUGGCCAGCCCUUCCGGCAGCUCCAAAGCCACAGGCAAGCCCCGAGGCUGGGAUGGCCGGCCCAGGAGGGAGGAGGACGACGUACCUCCCGAGGAGAAGAGGCUGCGGCUGGGGCUGGAAGGGGGAAGCGCACAGCCCGAGGACUGCGAGGACGGGGAGGACGCGCCGCGGCCAGGCAGGGAGGAGACCGGCACCCAGACAGGUGGCGACGGCAGAGGAGCUGACCACCACAGUCCUGUCUUUUCUGCCAGAAGGAAGUCAAGUGUUGUUACAAGAACAAGUGUGAAAAACAUUUUCCUGAUUAAGAUUUCUAGCACCAUGAAAGUUGUAAGUAUUUAGAUUGUCGUACCCCACGUCCAAGUGAUUAGA
rnacentral:lncRNA from 1 species